GACGAACGCUGGCGGCGUGCUUAACACAUGCAAGUCGAACGGAAAGGCCCUGCUUUUGUGGGGUGCUCGAGUGGCGAACGGGUGAGUAACACGUGAGUAACCUGCCCUUGACUUUGGGAUAACUUCAGGAAACUGGGGCUAAUACCGGAUAGGAGCUCCUGCUGCAUGGUGGGGGUUGGAAAGUUUCGGCGGUUGGGGAUGGACGCGCGGAUUAUCAGCUUGUUGGUGGGGUAGUGGCCUAACAAGGCUUUGACGGGUAGCCGGCCUGAGAGGGUGACCGGCCACAUUGGGACUGAGAUACGGCCCAGACUCCUACGGGUGGCAGCAGUGGGAUAUAUUGCACAGUGGGCGGAGACCUAAUGCAGCAACGCCGCGUGCGGGAUGACGGCCUUCGGGUUGUAAACCGCUUGCGCCGGUGACGAAGCGUUAGUGACGGUAAUGGGUAAAGAAGCACCGGCUAACUACGUG
rnacentral:rRNA from 1 species